rnacentral:rRNA from 1 species
CCUACGGGAGGCUGCAGUAGGGAAUCUUCGGCAAUGGGGGCAACCCUGACCGAGCAACGCCGCGUGAGUGAAGAAGGUUUUCGGAUCGUAAAACUCUGUUGUUAGAGAAGAACGUUAAGUGGCGUGGCAAAUUAAUUAAGUGACGGUAUAUAACCCGAAAGGGACGGCUAAAUUCGUGACAGCAGACGCGGUAAUACGUAGGUCCCAGGGGUUGUCCGGAUGUCUUGGGCGUAAAGCGAGCGCAGGUGGUUUCUUAAGUCUGAUGUAAAAGGCAGUGGCUCAACCAUUGUGUGCAUUGGUGACUGGGAGACUUGAGUGCAGGAGAGGAGAGUGGAAUUCCAGGUGUAGCGGUGAAAUGCGUAGAUAUAUGGAGGAACACCGGAGGCGAAAGCGGCUCUCUGGCCUGUAACUGACACUGAGGCUCGAAAGCGUGGGGAGCAAACAGGAUUAGAUACCCUGGUAGUC